GGGUGUGCCCUACCUCCCUCACUGCUCCAUGUGUGCCCUCCUGAAGCUGCAGGCUCAGUCAAAGAGGACGACCUUCCCAAUAGAGGAGGACCUUUCUUCAGUCAAGGGUAUAUGAGUAGCUGCACUCCCUUGCUAGAACCUCCAAAUAAGCUCUCAAGAAACCCCUGCACCAGGGGUUUUGAGCAGAGGAGUGAUUAUGGUCAGACUUCUGUUU
rnacentral:sRNA from 1 species